UACAGAGGGUGCGAGCGUUGUCCGGAAUCACUGGGCGUAAAGGGCGCGUAGGUGGUGGCUUAAGCGUGCGGUGAAAGCUCGGGGCUCAACUCCGAGUCGGCCGUGCGAACUGGGCUCACUGGAGCAUAGUAGAGGCAGGUGGAAUUCCUGGUGUAGCGGUGAAAUGCGCAGAUAUCGGGAAGAACACCCGUGGCUAAGGCGGCUCUCUAGUACGGUACUGACGCUGAGACGCGAAAGCGUGGGGAGCGAACAGG
rnacentral:rRNA from 1 species